UACGUAGGGGGCAAGCGUUGUCCGGAAUCAUUGGGCGUAAAGAGCGUGUAGGCGGUUCGGUAAGUCGGCUGUGAAAGUCCAGGGCUCAACCCUGGGAUGCCGGUCGAUACUGCCGGACUAGAGUUCGGAAGAGGCGAGUGGAAUUCCUGGUGUAGCGGUGAAAUGCGCAGAUAUCAGGAAGAACACCCGUGGCGAAGGCGGCUCUCUGGGACGGUACUGACGCUGAGACGCGAAAGCGUGGGGAGCGAACAGG
rnacentral:rRNA from 1 species